rnacentral:rRNA from 1 species
CUACGGGAGGCACCAGUGGGGAAUUUUGGACAAUGGGCGCAAGCCUGAUCCAGCCAUUCCGCGUGAGUGAGGAAGGCCUUCGGGUUGUAAAGCUCUUUCGCAAGGGAAGAAAACUUAUCCUCUAACAUAGGGUGAGGUUGACGGUACCUUGAUAAGAAGCACCGGCUAACUACGUGCCAGCAGCCGCGGUAAUACGAAUGGAGCGAGCGUUGUUCGGAAUCAUUGGGCGUAAAGCGUAUGUAGGCGGACCAGAAAGUCAGAAGUGAAAUCCCGAGGCUUAACCUCGGAAUUGCUUUUGAAACUCCUGGUCUCGAGUCCCGGAGGGGUUGACGGAAUUCCUAGUGUAGAGGUGAAAUUCGCAGAUAUUAGGAGGAACACCAGUGGCGUAGGCGGUCAACUGGACGGGUACUGACGCUGAGAUACGAAAGCGUGGGGAGCAAACAGGAUUAGAUACCCUAGUAGUC